GACAGAGGGGGCAAGCGUUGCUCGGAAUUACUGGGCGUAAAGCGCGUGUAGGCGGAUGAGUAAGUCUGCUGUGAAAGCUCCUGGCUUAACCGGGAGUGGUCGGUGGAAACUGCUCGUCUGGAGGACGGUAGAGGUAGGUAGAAUUCCCGGUGUAGUGGUGAAAUGCGUAGAGAUCGGGAGGAAUACCUGUGGCGAAGGCGGCCUACUGGGCCGGACCUGACGCUGAGACGCGAAGGCGUGGGGAGCGAACGGG
rnacentral:rRNA from 1 species